GCCCGUGUGGCGAAAUUGGUCAUCGCACCCGACUCUUAGGAUCUUCAACAGCUCCAUCGGGCGAUUGCGGGUUCGAGUCCCGCCAUGGGCU
rnacentral:tRNA from 2 species